ensembl:lncRNA
CUAGCACCACCUCCUUGAAAGGGGCCGAGUCCUACCUCUUCACCCUCGCCUUAGGAAAACCGGCUCCUCUCUUUUGUAUUGUCUGUGCUGAAAAUUCAACUGAGCCCCGCCAUAACUCCAAAAUUUUUCUUUCCGGUUGAUUUUGCUCCCUGGCAUGCCAUCUCCCCUUUCCUCUGCUAUCUUAUGCUUAGAGUGACUCCUCGGGACUGAGCCCCACCUGUCCUCACGACCCAUUUCUGUUCUGCACGGGGCCUGCUCAGCUGGACACUUUAUACACUCAAAAGGAGGCCCUGCUACCUGAAGGUACAGACACUCAGACGUUCAGACUCUGUCGUCGAUGGAGUAGCCACCACGGAGGUUAAGGAGCCCAUAUGAGGGUGAUGCUCUUUGCACACUCCGAUUGAGGAUUGAAGAUCUGGUGGACCGUGCAUGUUAGGAGGGGUAAGAGUGGGGUAAGGAGGGUCUGGAGGGAGUGGAAUCAUCCCUUGUGCUCUCUGGGUUGGGCUGAAAUCCAGAGAGAAAGCAAAGAAUCCUUCCAUCCCAGAACUAUUUCCUCCCAUCUUCUGCCAUCAUUGAGCAGGGCCAAAUAGGUCGGUCCCUUUUCUCCUUUGACUAGAAAAUGGUUCAAAGGCAGUGCAGAGGGACUACAUUGACUAGAUCACUCACAAGCAGGGCACGCUUCUCUCUCAUCAUUGAGAACCCUGAGUGUUAACAAAGAAGGUGGCUGGGAGAGGAUGGGUCAGCCUCCCUCCUCCCAGUACUCAGAUCUGUGCUCCCAGCCCACCCCAGGGUCCCCCUGACCAAGGAAAGUCUGGCCCUGUCUCAGCGGUAGCUGGAAGCCUGGGCCCUGGUUGAAGAGCCUCUUUGAGAUGCCCAGUGCCCAGGGGCUUGGAUGGAGGGGGAGGGGAGCCACAUUCUAAGCCGCUACCUCCCUGCUUCGGGUCAGAACAAGCCCCAGGAAGAAAGUAUUCCAAACAACAGGGUGGAUCUGCCCUAACUCACCCAGUCUGCAAGUCAGUGCUGAGAACAGCCUUUUACGGGCUUACACGGAGCCCGGGGCAUGUCUGGACGCAGCGAGGAAAGGGGUGGGGCAGGAACUACAAGGCAACGGGCGGAUGGCAUUUCUUCAGGAGGACGGAGAGCUCCCAGGGUUGCCAUCCCCUCGGUUUAGUUCAGUCCCUGAGAGCAGGUGACGGCCUUUGUUCCCACAUCCCCGUAUCCUCGAACCCCAAAAAGGUGUUAGAGGUGCCAUUUCCAGGCAGGUUUGGGAAAGGAUGUGAGGUCACCCAAAAGUGGCCAACCUAGCUGAGUCUGUAGGAGCGAGACCAAGGACACUCGCCCUCCUGCGCCCAUCCCAGCCCCCAUGAGUGUGCCUAGCCGCAGCUGGCUGCUCUUCUCCCUGUUUCACGCCCACAAAUGGGCCUGCAAUGGGCUGUUCAUGCUCUUUGGACAGUGCAUUCUGCAGAGGAACACCUCCACCUCUGCUUCCGCCACCUGGGUAAGCAAGAGCACAAUAGACGGAUUUUCUGAAGCAGGUUCAGAACACCCACCUUCUGCAGCCAGGACCAAGCUCGGCUAUGGCACACGCAGCGGGACACAGACAUGGGGAAGCCAGCCUGCAUCCCAGCCAGGUAGCCGCAGAGACGUGUCCACAGGGACUUGAGUGGAAUGGCUGCUUCAAGGGAGACCAACAGCAAGGGCCGGAGCACCAUCCCCACCCCUCAGCACCCUCGGUGCCGCAGGCCUGGUGGGGACGGUUCUUGGUGAGCUGGUUCUCUUGGCUCCUGGAGGAAGUGAUCCUGGAGAGGGUGUGAGUACUCGGGUCUCCCACACCUCCCAAGUCUGUGAUUCAAAGAUCCUGAAGGCUUCUGGCCAAGCAACAGCCCUGUGGGCAGAGGCUGGGGCUGCCACGUGGCCCACCCUCUGAGAUCAAGACCUCAGAUAGUCCAUGUGUUUCUCUUGUCCUUCAUUCCACCGGAGUCUGUCUCGUACCCACCCAGAUUUCAGUGGAGUGAAGCUCAGGAGGCGUGGAACUGACACCGGAGCUGCCCGCAGGAGUAGGUCUGACUUGGAAAAGGAAAGGCUCAGUGAGAGGUGCAGACACCUUGUGUGUGUGUCCGGCUGCACAGGGGACUGGGCCAGCGGCGGACAGGGGAAAGCACCGCAGAUGGGAUCUGCCAGUUACUUCUGAAAUGGACAUGGGUGUUUUCUGUAACUCACAAAAAUUAAAAGCUGCCUGUUUCUGCAACUCAUGAUGCUAUUGCGUGCAGAUCCCCUGGCCUCCUAAGUCACUUCCCCUUUGGGCUAAAGCAGAGUUGUCGGCUUGAACAACUAACACAGCUCCUCCCUCCAACCUCCUUGGGUUCUCCAGACAGGUGGCUGGCACUCUAUUUGCAGUCAGCAAGGAACCCUACUGCCCUCAGCCUUCCUGCAGGGCCAGCAGGACCUGCAGAAUGGGGUAAAAAAAAAAAAAAACUCUUAAGAUUUUUAAAACCCAUUUAUAUUGUAAUAAAAUAAAUGUAAAUAAGAUUUAAGUGAAGGCAGAUUGAAGAUAUUUGAGACACUAUACAAGAUAUAUCUCAUAGAGUACAGAUGUAAAUUCUGUAAAGGUUAAUGCACUUAAACACAUUUGACACAUAAAAAUGUCAGGACCAACAUUAAUCAUUUACCAAUCGUAAUUGCCUUUAUAUGGGUCUCUUCUCCCCAAGACACAUGAUUAAAACACCGGACUUGGUGGAAAUCUGGGAGGGAGGAAAAACAAAUAAUACUUCCCAGCUGUCAGGGUCUAUGAUUUGCUUUGAUAGAUUUAGCAUUGAUUUCAUCGGUUUUACCAUCCUGUGUAAAUUUCUUUUGUCUCUCUCCUUUAAGGAAAGAGAAGUUUUAUGGGGAGGAGGGUGGGCCCCUUAGUCCAAAGGAAGCCCCACCCAGUUACUGAGGAGAUGCCCACGGCUUUCUGUGACUCGCCCCUUCCUCAGCUAAAUGGGGGCUUCCCAGGUGGUGCUGCUGCUGCUGCUGCUGCUAAGUUGCUUCAGUCGUGUCUGACUCUGUGCGACCCCAUAGACGACAGCCCACCAGGCUUUGUGGCGCUAGUUGUAAACAACUCGCCUGCCAAUGCAGGAGGCAUAAGAGACGUAGGUUCGAUCCCUGGGUCAGGAAGAUCCCCUAGAGAAUGGCAUGACAACCCACUCCAGUAUUUUUGCCUGGAGAAUCCCACGGACAGAGGAGCCUGGCGGGCUACAGUCCAUGGGGUCACAAAGAGUUGGACAUACCGAAGUGACUUAGCAUUCACACACAGGUAAACGGCGGCUUCUCCAGGCAGCCAACCUGCUAAAGCAACAAAGUCUGAACAAAGCCUGGUUCUGGCAAGACUUCAGAAAAACCGGUUUUUACCUCUAGAAUGUGCUCCAGAUAGUAAAAGUCAAUAGAUGCCCCCUGGCCUGGCUGAGUGGUGUUUUCUCAGGAGGCUGCUAUCAAGGAGGCUCUGACUUUGCAGAUAGGUGCUUGUCACUUGGGUAUCCGAGCCCCCUCCCCCAGUCAGUGACCUCUGAGGGGAGGGGACUCUUCACCUACCUCAUCGCUCCCUGGGAUUCUGCUCUUCAGAAAUAAUGAGCUCCCAGACUGGGGGGCAGGAACCAAGAGGAGUAAGCAUUUCUUCAAAACAUUUUCCUGCUUCAAAUUCGAACAGAUUCAAAACCUCUUCCCUGUCACCCUCAUCCCUUCAUUCUGAGGUCCACAGACAAAAAAAGGGCCAGGAGGCCAAGCCACGGGCAGUUUUUUAAAACGUGUUUACCCGUAAAAUUACACAGUGACCGGGGUUGGGGAUGGGGUCAGAGGACUCAAGGCUAAUGAACCAGCAAAUAUCUUCCAUUCAAGGCUCUGAAAGAAAAAGAGCACAAAGCCGGAGUGAUGAGGCAUUUUCAUUUGCAGCUUGGUUUGAGCCCUACCACCUGGAAUGCCUUUUAAAGGAAGAAAGAUGGGGGGGUGUGCACACACGUGCAUAGGGUCAACUGUAAAUGGUGUGUGUGUGUGUGCGAGUGCUCAUGCAGGCCCAGAGGGUCAACUGUCAACCACCAGCCAGGGCUCAGUGCUGUAGCUCUGUGUAAUGCACUGCUGGCUUCCUACAACCCAAGCCCCACUCCAACACCAUCUUUGUUGCAGCCACGCAGGGUCUGAACUGCCCCCACCGCCGUCCUCCGCCCUCCCCCCAUCCGUGUAGCACCAGCUAGAUACCGGAUUCCCCUUCAGGAGGCUGAGCCAGCCCGGAGCAGCCUGCCAGGGAAGCCAGUGUGUGCUGUGAACCUGCAUGAACCACCCCAUCCAUCUUCCUCAUCCACCCCCAACUAUUUUAUGUCCUGUAUCUUCACUGCAAAGCAUGGCUCGCCACGAUACAGCACAGAGAAAAUGAUUCAAUCAAAAUUCCCUUGCAACAACAACAAAUAAUAUUGCCCUGCUUGCUUUAUUCAUGAUCUUUUAUUGAGGUGAAAGGCAAAUAUCAUUGAGCCAAACAGGAACAGACAAAUAUAUACAACAUGGGUAAUUUCCUAUUCCGUGCUAAUGGUAUACACUGUAGAUACAACCUGAGAGGAGUAAAUUACAAGCCUAUCAAUAAUACAUCGCACCCGGGCUCCAGUUUCCCAGUUCACGAGAAAAUGUGUAUUGGCAGAGGACUCUCCAAAUAGUAAUAGCCGUGCCUAUAAUGAGACGGAAGCUACACGCUCCCCUAGGAUGGUAGUCUGGUCUUUAUCAAGGUCCUUUAUGGAAGAAAUUCCCCACAUUGAAAUAUCCUAAAGCCAGGGCCAGAUGAGUUGUUCCGGUGAAGCUUCAAUCUCAGAAUAAGCUGCAAUCUGGGCCUCUGUUUGCCAGAUGGCUCAGAGACCUGCAUCCAUUUGGAUGCCUUGGGUCUAUGGUAAAUGUCCAGGGUCUGUGGGGGUGACCUACGACAACGGCUAGAGGUCUCCAGAUGACCCCAGUGCAGGCGGCAGUGUCAGAGAGAGAAGUCACCUGGCUUCAGAGCUCUCACGCUGACCCUAACCCUGACCCUGUGUGUGGUCCCCCAAAAGAAAGGAAGAAGGAAGGGAGGAGGAAGACAGUGGGCAAGGAGCCAACCACCUGCAAAAGAUACGAGAUUUAUUCUGCAAUCUUAAAUGUCCCCAGUUCCUAAAAGUCAGUGAAUCCAAAUUCCCUUCUUCCUCCCUGUUUGCUACCACCCGUAGAAGCAAAUGACAAUUUUAUUUGAAAGCAAGGAGGAACUUUCUGUCAAAGUAAUACUUCUAUUAUGGACAAAUUAGAUUACUGUUUACAAGAGGGCUAGUCCGUGCUGCAGUCACACACUAAUUCCCAUCUUUGACCUCCCCUGAUUAAGGAAACAGUGAGGGAUCAGACCAGAUGGGCCAAUCAGGUCCGUACCUCCUUUAUCUCUCUCUCUUUUAAAAAUCAAACCCUGAAGGAAAGAGCCCACAAAGGGAUGAGAGCCUGUCAGUGACUCAGGCAAGACGAAAGCAGUGCAGCCAGCAGCCUCAAACUCAAGUUCAGAAAUGGGAAGGGCUGGACAGACACCAGUUCAUUAGUGGGAAUAAAAGCUACCUAAACUGCAGGGAACUGACAAGGCUUUCUGGAGAGAGACACUUAGGCAUCAAAGCAAAACAAUGCAAAAGAUUCCCUUUGUCUGGAGGCAAGGAGCAGUUUCUAGAAGACCUGUCACAGUCUCCCCCCU